UACGUAGGGGCUAGCGUUGUCCGGAAUCAUUGGGCGUAAAGAGCGUGUAGGCGGCCCGGUAAGUCCGCUGUAAAAGUCAAAGGCUCAACCUUUGAAUGUCAGUGGAUACUGCCGGGCUAGAGUCCGGAAGAGGCGAGUGGAACUCCUGGUGUAGCGGUGGAAUGCGCAGAUAUCAGGAAGAACACCAACGGCGAAGGCAGCUCGCUGGGACGGUACUGACGCUGAUGCACGAAGGCCAGGGGAGCAAACGGG
rnacentral:rRNA from 1 species